GACAUAGACAGCGUCCCACUCCCACCAGCCUUUGUCUCCUCAAACUACAAGUUGAGCGAUGUGGAGCUGUCACGGUUUUAUGGCUGGACGUGACCGUGAUGUGGAAACUAAUCUGGCACCUGAACCUUUCCCUGACCCGGCCAGAGGCGCAGAGAGUCCAGUGCGAAGUUACUUUGGGGUUGAAAAACCAGGAGAAGAAAGGAACCAAUUAAGAAGCCUAUACUUUUUCCCAACCCACUUUUUUUCCAGACUUGCCCUUUCCUCAAAAUUAGUGAAUGAUUAAUCGUGUAUUGCAUCUCUCCUGUUUUUCGCAUUAAACAAGUUAUUAUACAAACCAUGGCUCCUUAUCACUGUCAGCACAGAGGAGUCAGAGGCGCACGGCUCUGGACGCUGGCCAGGCGGAGGUCCAUAUCUCCCCACAAUGUUGACACUCGGAGCUCUUAACAGCCGGGCUUGGGUUACCUACACUCAGCCGAAGAUAACUCUUUCUGCGAGGACUACAUCGGCCAGCAUUAAGGCCAAUAUAAAAAUUCAACUCUUUCGGCAGACUUGGGGACAUCUCCCAUGCGAUGCAGACGAAACGGGAGAACGUUUACGUGAAUCUGGGUUGUGAUGAAAUUAUUUUAGCGUUGAACUUAACUUGGUGACGGAGAAUGGGCCUUGAUUAUACAGCAAUACAGUCUCCGUAUUAGCAUUGCUUUAUGCACAUCGUCACAUACACUACAGGGAGUUGGUUUUAAUCUUAGUCUAAAUGACCCAUUUUGUUCACUCUCAUUGAAAGGCUCUUCGCGCAACAGAACACCUUCGCAUUGUUGCUGUACAAAUCUUUAAAUUUCAUAGUGAAAUGAAUAAAUUGUUAUUAUUUUUUAGGAUUGUUAUCAAAGGGAGAAGACCAAAAUAUUAUCUUCCAUCUGUCAUGUCUUUAUGGGGAACUUUGCAUAAAUUUAUUUGACCCCUUUCCAUGUCAAUUUUAAGUGUUUGUAUUACUUCUGCACAAUAAAGUUCCAACUUCAUCCACGAUAUAUUACCUCUGCAAUCCUGUGUAAAAUCAAUUUAUUUCAAACAAAUAUGCAAAACAUAUUUACAUAAAAUAUGGGUUUACAGGGUGAUUAUUGAAUUCCAUAAACUUCAUUUUUGGUUGUUUAAAGAUUAACAUUGCAGUAUUAUAUUUCCUAGGAGGUUCAAGCACGAACACAUAUAGAUAUUAUUAAGAAUGUGUUUGUGUCAAUUAAAAGCGUUUGCAUUGUGGGGAAACACAAUUUGUUGAGUGCAAUGCGUAAUUGUAAAAUGAACAAAUUCAGAAACUAAACUAAGUUAAAGCUUGAAAUAAUCAGAUAAUAUCACAAUAUAUGUAAAUACACUUUCGCAAGAAGAAGCAAACUCCACCUCUGUGAUAUUCAUACCACAUUCUAACACCCACAAAAAUGGUUUUACUCACAAGUCAUGACGGUCAGUUUCCAGCGGAAAGGGUUCUGUGACAGUCAGAUGAGAAGAGAUCUGACUUUCACCCUCCAGAGGAUCACAUCAAAUGAAAAUAAGGCAAAUGUUCUGAUCUAUUUCUGACCCCGGGGCAUUCAUUAUUCAACAAGUCACGUGAAAGGGUGCAUUAAAAUUUCAGUACAUUGCAAGUGACCUCUAUUCGCGAAUCAAAUGACUUGAAUUCUUAUAAUUUAACCAUCGGACUUUUUAGUCUGGGCCAAACCGGUGCCACUCAGCGUCAACGCCAUCUUCUGCACAGCUCUCAUGUCUGCAGCAAGUGCCACGCAGAGGAAAGCG
ensembl:lncRNA